UAGAGCGAGUGAUCCCUGUGAUAAUGAACAAAGGGAAGAUUAGUCUUUACCUCCCUCAAAUUCCUUUCUGCCUGAAACUGAAUCCACUAAAAAACCUUGGACUCAACAAGAGAACCUGACCCGGAAAACAACUCAAUUCAAUCUGAUUCAAGUGGCUAAAGAGCAGAAGCAUUAUGGCCAUAAGCCUGGACAAAUUAAAAGCCAACCAGUGAAAUCGUAUCAAUAUAUCACAUACCUUGGGAUUCCACUUGGUUCUCAUCAACAGUUAAUACAAUUUCCAAUGGAUAUGGGGACACAACGUUCACAGCAAAAUGCCAAAGCUGGGAUUAAAACCCAGACGAAAAGAAGUUAAAAUCACUGGAGAAAAAGAAGCAACCAGAGUAUUCAACCAAGAGCUUCACCCUGUUACUCUUUUGUUGAUAUUACCUUUUUGCUUUUUAUUCUAAUAAUCAUAUUGUAUGUUAAAAUUUG